CCUACGGGAGGCAGCAGUGGGGAAUAUUGGACAAUGGGCGAAAGCCUGAUCCAGCAAUGCCGCGUGAGUGAUGAAGGCCUUAGGGUUGUAAAGCUCUUUUACCCGGGAUGAUAAUGACAGUACCGGGAGAAUAAGCUCCGGCUAACUCCGUGCCAGCAGCCGCGGUAAUACGGAGGGAGCUAGCGUUGUUCGGAAUUACUGGGCGUAAAGCGUACGUAGGCGGUUAUUCAAGUCAGAGGUGAAAGCCUGGGGCUCAACUCCAGAACUGCCUUUGAAACUAGAUAGCUAGAAUCAUGGAGAGGUCAGUGGAAUUCCGAGUGUAGAGGUGAAAUUCGUAGAUAUUCGGAAGAACACCAGUGGCGAAGGCGACUGACUGGACAUGUAUUGACGCUGAGGUACGAAAGCGUGGGGAGCAAACAGGAUUAGAUACCCUGGUAGUCCACGCCGUAAACGAUGAUAACUAGCUGUUCGGACCUUUAAGGUUUGAGUGGCGCAGCUAACGCAUUAAGUUAUCCGCCUGGGGAGUACGGUCGCAAGAUUAAAAACUCAAAGGAAUUGACGG
rnacentral:rRNA from 1 species